rnacentral:rRNA from 1 species
AGAGUUUGAUCCUGGCUCAGGAUGAACGCUAGCGACAGGCUUAACACAUGCAAGUCGAGGGGCAGCGGGGGUGAAGGCUUGCCUUCACCUGCCGGCGACCGGCGCACGGGUGAGUAACACGUAUGCAACCUGCCCGUCUCAGGGGGAUAACCGGGAGAAAUCCCGCCUAAUACCCCACGACACCUCCAAGGGGCAUCCCUUGGAGGUCAAAGGAGCGAUCCGGAGACGGAUGGGCAUGCGGCGCAUUAGCUAGUCGGCGGGGUAACGGCCCACCGAGGCGACGAUGCGUAGGGGUUCUGAGAGGAAGGUCCCCCACACUGGAACUGAGACACGGUCCAGACUCCUACGGGAGGCAGCAGUGAGGAAUAUUGGUCAAUGGGCGAGAGCCUGAACCAGCCAAGUCGCGUGAGGGAAUAAGGCCCUACGGGUCGUAAACCUCUUUUGCCGGGGAGCAAGUCGGGGCUCGUGAGCCCUGAUGGAGAGUACCCGGAGAAAAAGCAUCGGCUAACUCCGUGCCAGCAGCCGCGGUAAUACGGAGGAUGCGAGCGUUAUCCGGAUUUAUUGGGUUUAAAGGGUGCGUAGGCGGGCUGGCAAGUCGGCGGUCAAAUGUCGGGGCUCAACCCCGGCCUGCCGUCGAAACUGCCGGCCUUGAGUGAGCGAGAAGCAGGCGGAAUGCGUGGUGUAGCGGUGAAAUGCAUAGAUAUCACGCAGAACCCCGAUUGCGAAGGCAGCCUGCCGGCGCUCAACUGACGCUGAGGCACGAAAGUGCGGGGAUCGAACAGGAUUAGAUACCCUGGUAGUCCGCACAGUAAACGAUGAAUGCUAGCUGUCCGGCCUGAUUGAAGGCUGGGUGGCACAGCGAAAGCGUUAAGCAUUCCACCUGGGGAGUACGCCGGCAACGGUGAAACUCAAAGGAAUUGACGGGGGCCCG